AAAACUUUCAACAACGGAUCUCUUGGUUCCAGCAUCGAUGAAGAACGCAGCGAAAUGCGAUAAGUAAUGUGAAUUGCAGAAUUCAGUGAAUCAUCGAAUCUUUGAACGCACAUUGCGCCCCCUGGUAUUCCGGGGGGCAUGCCUGUUCGAGCGUCAUU
rnacentral:rRNA from 5 species